rnacentral:rRNA from 1 species
CAAGCCCUGGAAACGGGGUCUAAUACCGGAUGUUCACUUCUGGGCGCAUGCCUGGGGGUGGAAAGCUCUGGCGGUGCAGGAUGGGCCCGCGGCCUAUCAGCUUGUUGGUGGGGUGAUGGCCUACCAAGGCGACGACGGGUAGCCGGCCUGAGAGGGCGACCGGCCACACUGGGACUGAGACACGGCCCAGACUCCUACGGGAGGCAGCAGUGGGGAAUAUUGCACAAUGGGCGCAAGCCUGAUGCAGCGACGCCGCGUGAGGGAUGACGGCCUUCGGGUUGUAAACCUCUUUCAGCAGGGAAGAAGCUUUCGGGUGACGGUACCUGCAGAAGAAGCGCCGGCUAACUACGUGCCAGCAGCCGCGGUAAUACGUAGGGCGCAAGCGUUGUCCGGAAUUAUUGGGCGUAAAGAGCUCGUAGGCGGCUUGUCGCGUCGGAUGUGAAAGCCCGGGGCUUAACCCCGGGUCUGCAUUCGAUACGGGCAGGCUGGAGUUCGGUAGGGGAGAUCGGAAUUCCUGGUG